AGUCAGCUGGAUACCGUUUGGAACAGAGAUCUGCAUAAAACAGCCUUUUAUUUAGACUGACAACAUUAUGGAAGGAGAAAAAUGAAAGUAAUGUUGCAAACAGGCCAGCAAGUACCCUAACUGAAUAAGAACACUUCCUGGGAGGAUCUUAAGAGGGCUUUUCAUCUGGGUACAAGGUUGGGAUUGCAGCAACACUGACUCUUGAAUUUGGUGGAGUACUCUGGAGGAGAAAGGAGAUGUGUCCAAUCCGGUGACUAGACAACAGUGCAGAAGCAAGGCUGAGAAGAGAGUUCACUCAAGCAGAGCCGGGGGAACCAGGCUGGAGAAAGAAAAGAAGUGGGAGCAAAAUCCCAGAGAUCACCUAUAGCAGAGAUCAGUAAUCCCCUGGGACAGAGAAAUAAAUCUGAAGGAUGUGAGACUAAUAUUACCGUGCCAAUAGUAGAGGUAGUUAAUAUUUUUGGUAUUAUCUAGUGUGGCAAAGAUUUAGAAUUGCAAUAACUUGCAGCAACAAUGUCAACAUACAGCAGAUCACAGUACCCAGCUAUUUUGGAACUAUCUUAGCAAAAGGCA
ensembl:lncRNA